CAUACGAUCUCCGGAGUUAAGCAACGUCGAGCCUGUUCAGUACCUAGCUGGUUGACCGCUUGGGAAUACCAGAAGCUGUCA